rnacentral:rRNA from 1 species
AAUAGAUACCCGGUAGUCCACGCCGUAAACGAUGAGUGCUAAGUGUUAGAGGGUUUCCGCCCUUUAGUGCUGCAGCAAACGCAUUAAGCACUCCGCCUGGGGAGUACGGCCGCAAGGCUGAAACUCAAAGGAAUUGACGGGGGCCCGCACAAGCGGUGGAGCAUGUGGUUUAAUUCGAAGCAACGCGAAGAACCUUACCAGGUCUUGACAUCUCCUGACAACCCUAGAGAUAGGGCGUUCCCCUUCGGGGGACAGGAUGACAGGUGGUGCAUGGUUGUCGUCAGCUCGUGUCGUGAGAUGUUGGGUUAAGUCCCGCAACGAGCGCAACCCUUGAUCUUAGUUGCCAGCAUUCAGUUGGGCACUCUAAGGUGACUGCCGGUGACAAACCGGAGGAAGGUGGGGAUGACGUCAAAUCAUCAUGCCCCUUAUGACCUGGGCUACACACGUGCUACAAUGGAUGGUACAAAGGGCUGCGAGACCGCGAGGUUAAGCGAAUCCCAUAAAACCAUUCUCAGUUCGGAUUGCAGGCUG